GACGAACGCUGGCGGCGUGCUUAACACAUGCAAGUCGAACGGAAAGGCCCUGCUUUUGUGGGGUGCUCGUGUGGCGAACGGGUGAGUAACACGUGAGUAACCUGCCCUUGACUUUGGGAUAACUUCAGGAAACUGGGGCUAAUACCGGAUAGGAGCUCCUGCUGCAUGGUGGGGGUUGGAAAGUUUCGGCGGUUGGGGAUGGACUCGCGGCUUAUCAGCUUGUUGGUGGGGUAGUGGCUUACCAAGGCUUUGACGGGUAGCCGGCCUGAGAGGGUUACCGGCCACAUUGGGACUGAGAUACGGCCCAGACUCCUACGGGAGGCAGCAGUGGGGAAUAUUGCACAAUGGGCGGAAGCCUGAUGCAGCAACGCCGCGUGCGGGAUGACGGCCUUCGGGUUGUAAACCGCUUUCGCCUGUGACGAAGCGUGAGUGACGGUAAUGGGUAAAGAAGCACCGGCUAACUACGUG
rnacentral:rRNA from 1 species